rnacentral:rRNA from 1 species
GCCUAGCCGUAAAAAAUUAUUUACACCCACCAGCGCCAGGGAACUACGAGCAAUGCUUAAAACCCAAAGGAUUUGACGGUGUCCUAUCCCCCUAGAGGAGCCUGUUCUAUAAUCGAUGAUCCCCGCUACACCCAACCACUUCUAGCUUUUCAGUCUGUAUACCUCCGUCGAAAGCUCACCGUAUGAACGUUUACAGUGGGCUCAAUGAUCCUCAUCAACAUGUCAGGUCAAGGUGCAACUAAAGAAGUGGUAAGUGAUGGGCUACAAUUUCUAAUCUAGAACAAACGAAAAGCUGUGUGAAACCACAGCCAUGAAGGUGGAUUUAGCAGUAAAAAGAAAAUAGAGUGUUCUUUUUAAUUUGGCUCUAGGACGUGUACAAACCGCCCGUCACCCUCUUCGAUAGAUAAUCUUAAAAGUCUAUAACCCCACUUAAAACACAAGAAGAGGCAAGUCGUAACAUGGUAAGUGUACUGGAAAGUGCACUUGGUUAACCAAAAUGUAGCUUAAUUAAAGCCCCCCGCUUACACCGAGGAAAUAUCCGUGAAAUUCAGAUCAUUUUGAGCCUAAAUCCUAGCCUUCCGCACACUCAUGCAACACUCACCCUACUGCUCCACAAUAAAACAUUUUAACAUUAUAGUACAGGAGAUCAAAAUACUUCCAAGCGCUUCAGAUUAAGUACCGUAAGGGAACGAUGAAAUAAAAAUGAAACAAAUUUAAAGCCCUAAAUAGCAGAGAUUGUCCCUCG